rnacentral:misc_RNA from 1 species
ACUUCAAAGGGGGAGGAGUACGCUAAACCAACUGAAACUUAUAUAUUAAAUAGUCAAAAAAUACAAGUUGUCAGUCUAAUAAUACAUUUAGAUAUAAAGUGACUAGAGAGUAGAGACUUAAAAAAUAGAAAAGUAACAUGUCAGUGAAUGUAAAAGGUUGUUAGUUGCAAGAUAAGGGCGCGAGUGUGAGUAUUGAUCGAGCGAGUGGUGGAGCCCGGUCCGUGUGCCAUGGUGGAGGCGUGAGUGAUUUUCGACGCCCGUACACCCACACGACGCCCACGCCGCCAUGGAGGUGGUUGGGGAGUACGAAUACAGCACCAAGGACCUCAUAGGUCAUGGUGCUUUCGCCGUGGUGUUCAAAGGGCGGCACAAACAGAAACCCGGCCUUACAGUUGCCAUAAAAAGCAUCACUAAGAAGAACAUCGCAAAGAGCCAGAAUCUCUUGGGGAAAGAAAUAAAAAUCCUUAAGGUAAGCGCGGGCGGGGAUGAAGGCGGCGCCUGAGGUCGAGGUUAGUCUUCGCCGGGUUUUUUAAGAAGUCCGUUAUUGCGAAGAGCGGAAUAUGGCGACGUGUUAGUUUUUUUUUUU